rfam:Ancylostoma ceylanicum strain HY135 Acey_s0023_scaf, whole genome shotgun sequence.
UAGUGGCAAAUAUCUAAGUUCGAUCCUUGAAGACUGAAGUGGAGAAAGGUUCCACGUGAACAGUAGUUGAAUGUAGGCCAGUCGAUCAUAAGAUACUGGCUUAUGCCGUGUAUCGUUGAGAGGAAAAAGUUUCUUUUCUCUCGGAUAUCAAGAGGGAAUAGGGUUAAUAUUCCCUAACGCAGACGCAGAGAUUGCGGUUCCUUGAGUCGCUUGCGCGGUAACGCAUUCGAACUUGGUUAUGUCGCUCAGAGACCGAGCUAGAGUUCUCUUCUCUAGUUAGGGAACGGACUCCCUGGAAAUCACAGAAUGGGAGGUUUAAUAUAGUAUUAAAAGUUAUAUGGGGUUUCUACUUUCAGAUUCCAUUCCGUAUACGGUGAACUCCAAACGGUCGUACACAAGGGGCGGGACCGCGGCGCGGGCACUCUGGUU